AUUGAACGCUGGCGGCAGGCCUAACACAUGCAAGUCGAACGAGUGGCGGACGGGUGAGUAAUGUCUGGGAAACUGCCUGAUGGAGGGGGAUAACUACUGGAAACGGUAGCUAAUACCGCAUACCAUCAGAUGUGCCCAGAUGGGAUUAGCUAGUGGGUGGGGUAACGGCUCACCAGGGCGACGAUCCGUAGCUGGGCUGAGAGGAUGACCGGCCACACUGGAACUGAGCCACGGUCCAGAUUCCUCCGGGGGGAGCCAGGGGGGAAUAUUGGACAAUGGGCGAAAUCCUGAUGCAGCAAUGCCGGGUGUAUGAGGAAGGCCUUCGGGUUGUAAAGUACUUUCAGCGGGGAGGCGGUACCCGAAGAAGAAGCACCGGCUAACUCCGUGCCAGCAGCCGCGGUAAUUC
rnacentral:rRNA from 1 species